GACGAACGCUGGCGGCAUGCCUAAUACAUGCAAGUCGAGCGAACAGAUGAAGUGCUUGCACUUCUGACGUUAGCGGCGAACGGGUGAGUAACACGUAAGGAAUCUACCUAUAAGCGGGGGAUAACAUUCGGAAACGGGUGCUAAUACCGCAUAAUAUCUUCUUCCGCAUGGAAGAAGAUUGAAAGACGGCUCUGCUGUCACUUAUAGAUGACCUUGCGGUGCAUUAGUUAGUUGGUGGGGUAACGGCCUACCAAGACGAUGAUGCAUAGCCGGCCUGAGAGGGUGAUCGGCCACAUUGGGACUGAGACACGGCCCAAACUCCUACGGGAGGCAGCAGUAGGGAAUCUUCCGCAAUGGGCGAAAGCCUGACGGAGCAAUGCCGCGUGAGUGAAGAAGGCCUUCGGGUCGUAAAACUCUGUUAUAGGAGAAGAACAAAUUGUAGAGUAACUGCUACAGUCUUGACGGUAUCUUAUCAGAAAGCCACGGCUAACUACGUGCCAGCCGCCGCAGUAA
rnacentral:rRNA from 1 species